rnacentral:lncRNA from 1 species
AUUGAACUCUAAGUUCAAAAACUCCAACAAGCACCAACCAACCUGUGACCACACUUACAUCUAUGGAGCAGUACAAGCUUUCAAAGUCAUGUUCCAUUUUGUAACAGGUUAUAGUUCUUCAAGGUGGCUGCAUCAUUUUUUAUUACUACUGGCAAUGUAUAAGGAUACCAAUUCCCCAGCACUUGUUAUUGACCUUAUUUUUGUUCAUAGGCAUUUUAGUGAAUAUACUUUACCAUCAUUCUGCUCUAUGACAAAGUGAGCCCAGAGAUGAAGAGGAAGCAAAAAACAGGCAAGGGAUUCCAGGCAUCAGCCAGCAGAGGGGAAAAAGAGUUAGGGAGGGAAAGAAAAUGUGUGCUUCCAUCAGCAAAUUUUGAGGGUAUGCAUACUGAUAGAGUAUAUUAUCAAUUACUUUUUUCUCUACAAUGUAACAUUUUUAAGUCUCUAUUUUCCAUUUUUAUCAGGCUUAUUAAUAAGUGUUAGAUUAAGCUAGUUUUGGUCUAAGAGACACUUGAGUGUGUGUAUUUCUGCCUAUUCACAUUCUUAGACCAUGUUUCUCUUGCACUGUACUUUUUCUUAUAAUAUGCUGUGCUUUUCUUUUGUUGAAAACAUUAUCUCUUUUUCUUGGAUAUAAGCUGUAAAUAUUUUAUAUAUUCUUUUCCAGUUUGACAUUUGCCUUUAAUGUAAUUCAGGAUUUUCCCUAGACAUAUUUUGCAUUAUUAUUACUACUUAAUGUAUUCAAACAUACUAGUUAUUUAUGGCUUCAGAGUUUCCCGUCAUCCUUAAAAAGGCUUCCCUAUCCUGUGAUUUUUUUUAAAAAAAAAUCAUGUUUUCCUCUAGUAUUUUCAUUCCUUUUUUAUGUUUAACUCUAGAUCUCUUCCAAACAGACAAACACACCCACACACCUACCCAUUCCCCUACACACACACUUUUUCUUUUUUAAAAAAUGGAGGUUGCAGAGCCAAGAUCGCACCACUGAACUCCAGCCUGGGCUGCAGAGCUCCGUCUCGGGAAAAAAAAAAAAAAAAAGACACUUUCUUCAACAAUUAUUUGGAUACCUUGAAAUGAUGUUUGUAUAGAAAAGUCAGGAAAAUGCUAGACUCUUUAUUAUCAUUUUUUGGUAUGCUCUUCUGAGAAGAUGCUUCACUCAACUCUAUUUUUUGCUAUUUAAUGCAAUAAAAUUUAAAAUUUUAAUAUAUAGAUAGAUAGAUAUAGUAAAGCUGUAGAAGUUAAAAUGGAAUUGGUACAGAAAAGAAUAACAGUAAGGUGCAGACUAAUGUAAUUUUGCUAAUGCUAAAAAUUAGAUUGUUAGAUUUACUGGCAAACCCUUACUUUCUUUCUUUCUUACUUCUUCAUGCAUCUUUGUAAUAAACCCUCAUUAAACGAGGUAGUCUGAACAUAGUUCUAUUCCUUGCAAGCUAAAAAGGCUAAUUAACAGAGAUGUAAAGGCUAUGCAGAGCAAUAAAACACAACAAAUACUGAAAUUGAUUUAAAUGCAUGUAAUUUAAAGCAGGAUAUAGGAAUGCUAAAACCAUUUUUAAAAUCUACUUAUUUUCAUACCUACACAUCCAAAUCUAGAUCUUAGAGCUGAUGGUCCUAAAUUACUGAAAAAUAAUAAAGCCAACAUAUGUUUCUAUUACAUGCUGACAUA